rnacentral:rRNA from 1 species
GAUGAACGCUGGCGGCGUGCCUAAUACAUGCAAGUAGAACGCUGAAGGAGGAGUUUGCUCUUCUGGAUGAGUUGCGAACGGGUGAGUAACGCGUAGGUAACCUGCCUGGUAGCGGGGGAUAACUAUUGGAAACGAUAGCUAAUACCGCAUGACAACAGUUAUUGCAUGAUAACUGUCUAAAAGGGGCAACUGCUCCACUACCAGAUGGACCUGCGUUGUAUUAGCUAGUUGGUGAGGUAACGGCUCACCAAGGCGACGAUACAUAGCCGACCUGGGAGGGGGGUCGGCCAAACUGGGAAUGGAGAAACGCCCAAGCUCCUAAGGGGAGCAGCAAUAGGGGAACUUCGGCAAUGGGCGGAAGUCUGGACGAACAACGCCGCGUGAGUGGAGGAAGUUUUCCGGUCGGAAAACUCUGUUGUAAGGGGAGGACGAGUGUGAGAGUGAAAAGUUCACACUGUGACGGUAUCUUAACAGAAAGCGACGGCUAACUACGUG